AUGUGGCACGCGAUCACUGCAGCUCUUCAGCGCAAUCCAUACCGACCUGGCGACUGCUCGCGACGUGUUGUUAGCC
rfam:Xanthomonas oryzae pv. oryzae KACC10331, complete genome.